rnacentral:rRNA from 1 species
AAGAGUUCACGGUGGAUGCCUUGGGGCUAUCCGGCGAAGAAGGUCGUGGUUAGCUGCGAAAAGUCAGGGGGAGGAGCCAACAUCCUGUGAUCCCUGGAUUACCGAAUGGGGUAACCCACCAGAAGUUAUGUUCUGGUACUGCUAAGUGAAAUGAGUAGCUUAGUGGAGCAAUACUUGGGGAACUGAACCAUCUAAGUACCCAAAGGAAGAGAAAUCAAUCG